ensembl:lncRNA
CACACACACACACACACACACACACACACACACACACACACACACACACACACACACACACACACACAGGACUGGCACCUUUGGACGUAGGUCUGUCCCACCCAGGCUCCCUUCACCCAGACCGGACCAGGUCUCCUCCCCAGACCGGACCAGGUCUCUCACCCAGACCGGACCAGGUCUCCCACCCAGACCGGACCAGGUCUCCUCCCCAGACCGGACCAGGUCUCCCACCCAGACCGGACCAGGUCUCCUCCCCAGACCGGACCAGGUCUCCUCCCCAGACUGGGAUGGUUCUGGCCUGCCCAGUGAAAACACAACAUCAAUGUUUGGGGGAGACACAGAGAGAGAAGAGGCCAGGCCGAGUGCAUCCGCACGGCCUUUCACCCCAGCUGGCCCUGGCUCCGUCGGUGAGGUGCAUCAUGUUGACGGACAGAGCGUCUGUUUGGUCAUUUCCUUAUAUAUACGGGUCCAGGAGGACUACAGGUAGACUGC